GAUAAACGCUGGCGGCGUGCCUAACACAUGCAAGUCGAACGCCCUACGCUUGCGUAGGGAGUGGCGGACGGGUGAGGAACACGUGGGUCAUCUACCCAGAGGUGAGGAAUACCGGCGAGAAAUCGCCGACAAUACCGCAUACGUUCUGAAAAGAACAAAGUCGCAAGCGCCUUUGGAUGAGCCUGCGCCCGAUUAGUUGGUUGGUGGGGUAAAAGCCUACCAAGACUGCAAUCGGUAGCNGGUCUGAGAGGACGAUCAGCCACACUGGGAUUGAGAACGGCCCAGACUCCUACGGGGGCGA
rnacentral:rRNA from 1 species